CAAUAGCGUAUAUUAAAGUUGUUGCAGUUAAAAAGCUCGUAGUUGGAUUUGUGGUGUACUUCGGCGGCCCGUCACUAUGUGAUGGAGCUUGCUGAAGUCGCCAUCCUUGGGUGGAUCCUGUGUGGCAUUAAGUUGUCGUGCAGGGGAUGCACAUCGUUUACUGUGAAAAAAUUAGAGUGUUCAAAGCAGGCUUAUGCCGUUGAAUAUAUUAGCAUGGAAUAAUAAGAUAGGACCUUGGUACUAUUUUGUUGGUUUGCGCACCAAGGUAAUGAUUAAUAGGGACAGUUGGGGGUAUUCGUAUUUCAUUGUCAGAGGUGAAAUUCUUGGAUUUUUGAAAGACGAACUACUGCGAAAGCAUUUACCAAGGAUGUUUUCAUUAA
rnacentral:rRNA from 1 species